rnacentral:misc_RNA from 1 species
GAUGAAGAACGCAGCGAAAUGCGAUAAGUAAUGUGAAUUGCAGAAUUCAGUGAAUCAUCGAAUCUUUGAACGCACAUUGCGCCCGCCAGUAUUCUGGCGGGCAUGCCUGUUCGAGCGUCAUUUCAACCAUCAAGCCCCCGGCUUGUGUUGGGGACCUGCGGCUGCCGCAGGCCCUGAAAAGCAGUGGCGGGCUCGCUGUCACACCGAGCGUAGUAGCAUACAUCUCGCUCUGGGCGUGCUGCGGGUUCCGGCCGUUAAACCACCUUCAUAACCCAAGGUUGACCUCGGAUCAGGUAGGAAAACCCGCUGAACUUAAGCAUAUCAAUAAGCGGAGGA